AAUCUCAUGCCAUCAUGUAAUGCAACACAUCACAACAAAUCACAUCUCGGAUGGUAUUGUCACCAAUAGUCCUCUACAUAAUCCAACUGUGCCGGGACGUAGAAUGGGUACAACCGGUCUUUCUCUUAACAUAACAUAUCAUACAGUCCAACUGUGCCAGGGACGUAGAAUGGGUACAACCUGGACUUUCUCUUACAUAGUGC
rnacentral:lncRNA from 1 species